UACGGGGGGAGCAAGCGUUGUUCGGAUUUACUGGGCGUAAAGGGCGCGUAGGCGGCGCAACAAGUCACUUGUGAAAUCUUCAGGCUUAACCUGAAGCGGCCAAGUGAUACUGUCGUGCUAGAGUGCGGAAGGAGCAACUGGAAUUCUUGGUGUAGCGGUGAAAUGCGUAGAUAUCAAGAGGAACACCUGCGGCGAAGGCGGGUUGCUGGGCCGACACUGACGCUGAGGCGCGAAAGCUAGGGGAGCGAACGGG
rnacentral:rRNA from 1 species